rnacentral:misc_RNA from 1 species
GAAAUGCGAUAAGUAAUGUGAAUUGCAGAAUUCCGUGAAUCAUCGAAUCUUUGAACGCACAUUGCGCCCCCUGGCAUUCCGGGGGGCAUGCCUGUCCGAGCGUCAUUUCUGCCCUCAAGCGCGGCUUGUGUGUUGGGUGUGGUCCCCCCGGUGUUGGGGGGACCUGCCCGAAAGGCAGCGGCGACGUCCCGUCUAGGUCCUCGAGCGUAUGGGUCUUUGUCACCCGCUCGGGAGGGGCCUGCGGGCGUUGGCCACCCACGAUAUUUUUUUACCGUUGACCUCGGAUCAGGUAGGAGUUACCCGCUGAACUUAAGC